GAUGAACGCUGGCGGUAUGCUUAACACACGCAAGUCGAACGGACUCUUCGGAGUUAGUGGCGGACGGGUGAGUAACGCGUGAGAAUCUGGCUUUGGGUUCGGGACAACCACUGGAAACGGUGGCUAAUACCGGAUGUGCCGAGAGGUAAAAGAGAAAUUGCCUGAAGAUGAGCUCGCGUCUGAUUAGCUAGUUGGUGAGGUAAAGGCUCACCAAGGCAGCGAUCAGUAGCUGGUCUGAGAGGAUGACCAGCCACACUGGGACUGAGACACGGCCCAGACUCCUACGGGAGGCAGCAGUGGGGAAUUUUCCGCAAUGGGCGAAAGCCUGACGGAGCAAUACCGCGUGAGGGAAGAAGGCUCUUGGGGUGUAAACCUCUUUUCUUAGGGAAGAACAAAAUGACGGUACCUAAGGAAUCAGCAUCGGCUAACUCCGUG
rnacentral:rRNA from 1 species